CACUACUUUAUUGUUGAUAAAGUCUAUGAAUACACGAAAGGUUACUUACAGUCCUGCAGCAAAAUUCUAAUUUCAAAUUACACGUUAGGCAUGUUUCAUUUCAUUAGCAAUAUUUAAUUAUUCAGUGAUUAGUAUUAAAACAAAUUGUUGUACAUCAUAUAGUAGUCUCAAUAAAUCAGUUAACUCAAAUUUUAAAGUUUCAAAAUGGGUGUUUUUUCAAAUUUAGUUACAUUUGCUGUAGGAAUGUAUUCAGGAAUAUAUAUUGCACAAAAUUAUAAUGUGGCAAAAGUAGACGAACCAAAAGUGCUUGUAGAUAAACUUCAAGCCUAUAUUGAAACCUUAAUUAAGCCAAAAUAAUAUGUCAAUAAGAUAGUUAAAUUGUUGUUAAAUUUGUUUGUGAUAGUUUGAUUUAUAUUUAUAAAAGUUCACUAUCCAAUAUUAAUUAAUCAAUACAAUUUCUUAAAUGUAUUAACUAUUUUCAAUUAUAUGUUAUUUUAUGUCAUAAUACAAAAAAAAAAAAUUAUCACUAUAA